GUCCUCUCCCCACGCCGCCUCCUCUCUCCCCCCCUCUCUGGCUCUCUCCCCCGUCUCCCCGAUCCCCUUUCUCUCUCCCUUCUCCGGCGCCGCUUUCCUCGCCGCCGUCCCUCUUCCCCUUCGGGUGCGCCGCUCCCCCUCCCCUACAUCCCGACCUCCGCCUCCACCGCCCUGCCGUCUCUGCCACCGCCACCGCCGUGGCGACUCGCUCCCGCCCGCCUAAGCCCACUGCCGCCGCUCCCGAGAGUGGAGGCGGGCGGAUCCGCGUGCUGCCGGCGCUCCCGUUCCUGCCAGGCCGCUCCCAAGGACGACGGCCGCUGGAUUCGUGCGUCACCGUCGCUACCGAGGACGGGGGACGACGAAUCCGCAUCGGUUUCUUCCUGCCCCGCCUCCUCACGGCGUGGGUCUGUCGGUGGGAUGGAGGUUCUUGCGCGGCGGCGCGGGCCGGGGAGCGAAAGGUGAGGACUUUGUGUGUGUUCUCUUGGUGCGUUUCUUGCUGUGAUUUCUUGGGGGAGCUGUUCGUGGUUUCUCCACCUGCGGCCGUGGACGAGAUUCUCCAUCUCUGCUUCGGGGGAUUUCUUGUGGGUUUCUUCCCUUCCUCUUCCUCUCUCUCCUGUGGCAAGGUGUGGGAGGACGGCCAUGGUCUGGAACUCUGGAUCUUCUCUCUUACUGAUUUUCCUCCAGCACAGACGAGCACCACGCGGAACCUGCGGCUCGCCGUCGACGGCGCCGGCACCAACAACCAAACUCGAACGUGGAGGGGCUUUUGGAAAGUUAAGAAUGGGGAUUUUCAUUUUUUGUUUUGUUUUGAAGCUUUCGCUAAUUUAUUGGUGCUGACCAUCUAGAGUGAGUUGAUGCCUUGCAAUUGGCUACUGAGCUCAGCAUUUGCUUUACUUGAUAGUGCUCAGUUUGGCAAUUGGAAUAUACCCAUCACAUGAUGCAAAUAAUUCUAGAUUACUAGCACUGCUUUGUUCUAUUUGAUUAUUUUUUUACUCAUCAGAUUAUGUCAGUGCAUGUCAAAAAGACCAGUCAGAUGAUGCCAAGUGAUCAAAAGAUAUAAAUACUGUCGAAUGAUACUAACCUUUGUACUCAUUUUAUUACAACAUGAACAAACCCUUCUUUCUUCAACCAAAUUCUACCAUCAAAGCAUGGGAUAGCUAGGGCCAUCUCAGUGCCGGUGAGCUGGGGACGUGGUAAUUUCCCGGAGUUUUCAAUUUAUUACUAUUCAGUUUCUUGAUGUAUGAGUGCAACAAGUUAGUAAAACAAGCUACAAUUUAUAAUCGGGUAGUCCUGUCCAUGUAUAACAUGGUUAUCUUUGUUUAUUUCUUAUCUUAUAUGCUAAGAUAUUUCUUCUCAUUUUUGCAGGGUGGAAGAUCUUUCGAUUUGUGAAGUUACACCAAUUUACUAACUUUGUGAUAUUGCACUAAAUUUAGGCUGACAAUCAUGUGUUCUUCAGUUCCUGGGUUAGCAUUGCUUAACACCAGCAUAAGCAAAUCUUGGAGCGAUGAGGAACUUGUGCGAUUCUUGGCAGAGAGGAAAGCAGCAGACUCUUUGCCGGAGAAUGUAGUGGUGGGGAUGAACUUUUCUCUCAUUGAUCCAUGGAAUUCAGGUUAGUGUCCAAUCUAUACAGAAAUUUAUUAUGACGUAUUCCUGGUGGUAUAACCAGUCUUGCAUUCUGAAUUAAUGGUAUUCUCCAACAAGACUAUGUCAUGUAAUAUCUGUGGUCUGCUUUUCAUAAUUCAGUCGUUAUAGACCAUGAAGGCUUCUUUGUUUUGUCCUUUUUGAGUUGUUAUAUAUAUUUACUUUACUACAGUUUAUUAUACGAUUCGGUAGUAUAGCAGCAUUUUAAUUCUUAAAUGAUAACUAAAGAAAGGGAAUCCUACAUAGAAUUGAUAACUAUUUAGGGUUAAAAGGCAUGGACCAUUAUGCAAAACCAGAAAGAAAUAUCUUGGGCUCUGAUGAAAGUCCAGAGUUAAGUGCACGAACGCAUACUUCAGCCCCAUUGAUUAUGGCAAAAAUUGCCUGCAUGAAGUGCUCAUAAACUAAAGUGGGAUGUUAUAUGAGAAAUACUUUGGCACUUCACAUUACCCUGAGCAUUUCUUUUUCAUUUUUCUUUGUAGCCUGUGCACCAGUUGCUUGCAUGUUUUCACUAGAAAAUUCUGAAUUACGCUAUUUGACGAUUAAAUUAUGUUCAAUGUGUUGCUCGGCUAGGAUCCUUUAACUUUCACAUCCUCACCAGAGUUUGCUAUUAUGAGAGGUCAUUGUUUGCCAGUUAAACUUUAAGUUUUGGAGAUGUCAUAAUGCACUAUAUGCCAUUGGUUAUUAUCAACUUUUGUUUUUAGAUACUGUACAAGCAGAUCAUGUGCUAAGAUUUUGGGGCUUCAGUUCACUUUUAGCAUUAAAAUGUGCACAUAAGAGGAGCGGUAGCAGCAGCAGGAGGAUAGGAGAUGUAAUGAGGCAAGAGUGAACUUGUGAGCUUUCUUAAAAACUGUUUAUUGCCCAGCAACGGCGAUGCGAUGUACACAGUCAUGACAGAGCAGAUGAGGUGGGACUUAAAUUUUAUUAAUCAGAGUAUAUGAUAAUGUUGUCAUCUGAAUGUUUGUAAUAUUCAAGACCUUAAUUGCUUUGUUUUGAUCUAAUUUUUUUAAUCUUUGAAA